AAAAUUUAAAUGAAAUGUAUGUAUUAAAAAUCUCAAAUGCGGAAGCGUAAUAAAAAUUUUGAUUAACAUCCCUUACACAAUAACCAAAACGUACUCAAAACAUGAAAAAACAAACUAACUAAAAGAGAUACUCGAAAUAAGAACUAUAGAUAUAACUAUGAAGUCUUUAGGCGUCCCCUUCCCCGUCUUCCUGCGGAACGGGCUCGGGAACAACGUAUUCUUGAUAUGAAAUGGUUAAAUAAGGAAUGAACUACACCAACCCAGUAA
rnacentral:lncRNA from 1 species